rnacentral:ncRNA from 1 species
AAGAAAAAGAGACAAGGAGGCGGUGGCUCCAGCCUAGUGCGGGAUGCCCAAUUGGUAAGCGUAACUUACUAGAUCUGUACAUAAGCGUGUAAGACACAUUGAUAGCCUUUUGUCGAAUCUGUGGGUUGUAGUGCAUGGCCGUCCUUAGUUCUUAUUACAAAUAGAUGUUUUAACGGUUAAGGUGUUGAAACUUUUAUGGAAUCUGUUUAUAAAAGUGAAGUCGUACCUGUUAGUUUGUCCUUUUGCAGUAGAAAAUAAUGCGAUUGAGCAAUAACAGCUCUGUAACGCCUUUAGAUGCCCCGGGCUGCACAAUGAACGUAUUUAACAUGUAUUCCCUAGACCUAGUGAUCCGGAUAAAUCGCUGGACCACUUUCAGACUUAGAAUUGUGAAUCGAAACUGUUCGCUUGCAACUUCGAAUUCCCAGUAAGUGUGAGUCAUUUUUUGUAUUGAUUGCGUCCAUGCUCUUUGUA